CCUACGGGGGGCUGCAGUGGGGAAUAUUGGACAAUGGGGGGAACCCUGAUCCAGCCAUGCCGCGGGUGUGAAGAAGUCCCUCGGGUUGUAAAGCACUUUCAGUGAGGAAGAACGCCUGGUGGUUAAUACCCAUCAGGAAAGACAUCACUCACAGAAGAAGCACCGGCUAACUCCGUGCCAGCAGCCGCGGUAAUACGGAGGGUGCGAGCGUUAAUCGGAAUUACUGGGCGUAAAGCGCGCGUAGGUGGCUUGAUAAGCCGGUUGUGAAAGCCCCGGGCUCAACCUGGGAACGGCAUCCGGAACUGUCAAGCUAGAGUGCAGGAGAGGAAGGUAGAAUUCCCGGUGUAGCGGUGAAAUGCGUAGAGAUCGGGAGGAAUACCAGUGGCGAAGGCGGCCUUCUGGACUGACACUGACACUGAGGUGCGAAAGCGUGGGUAGCAAACAGGAUUAGAUACCCGAGUAGUC
rnacentral:rRNA from 1 species